GCGGGGCUGGGGGUGCUCGUUGCAGGGAGGGCGCUGAGCGUUCCUGUCAGCAGGACCGUGUCCUCCCCGUUGUCCUCCUCGUUGUCCGCCCCGUUUUUGGGCGCGUUUUUCGCCUUUCCACCGUAUCGAAUGGCCGCCAGGGAUCGCAGCGGGUUGCAGCGAGGCUGGGGCCUCGAGGCCGCGGUUUUUAGUGAGCCCAGCGCGGGCUGAGGAGCUCUCUGCGCGCUCAGGGCCUCCCGGAGCCCCCCGCCCGCCAUUUUCUCUCUCAGCCCCCGCCGCGCGGGCGGAGGCUCCUCCGUGCGAGGCAGGUUCAGCCUCUUCCUCGCUGAUCGCAUCGUGCCCUCAAACCUUAGAGCUUGGGAGCUGGCUUUCCUUGCUCAGGAAGGAAAAAUGUGAGGGCUGUUGCCCCUUGAGUGGCCGUGCAGGGCGGGUACCCUGUUGCUUUGCCUGCCAGGCCCAGGGGAGGGCACAGAGCUGGAGAAGGUUCCUGUAGGUUUCUUUUUGCAGCACACGUUUAAUUAGGUCUCAACCAACACCACAGAUUCCUCUCCUUAAUGUUAUGCUGGAAAUGUGAACCUUAUUGAAGUUACCAGUAUCCUGUUCAGAUGCAGAAGCCAGCACGAGAAGCUAACAUGCCUGCUAGGAAUGAAAAAAAUCUUUAUAGAGAUGCUCUUUAUAGAGUUGCUGAGAAGGAAAGAUGAAAUAAUAAGGAAGGUGAAUGUGGCAGCAUUUACAGAAGAAUAAAAAGGAAAUUCGCUAAAAGAAAAAGGCAAGUUGAAUGAAAAAUAGUAACUAAUGGUGGAAUUAGCUCUCAUUACCAGAUAGGAAGAGACAGUAUUUGUGAUUUGGCUAGUUAACUGUCUUUGAUGUUAUUUUCCUACAUAAGCUACUGAUAGAAUUGCUAAAGAAACAACAGUGAAAGGAUCAGAAUGUAUUGUGAGCACAGAUGGAGCUUACAUUGUAUAUAUGUUAAGACAGUUAAUUUAAUUUUAGCCAGUGAUGUUAGUUUCUUGGAGAUGAAAAGAUACUUAUUACACAUGCAUUGAGGCACAUUGAAGGCUACAGUAUGGGCAAAUGUUUUAGCCUAUUAAGAAAAAGAAGACUUUGAGAAGCCCACUUUCUGUUCUGCUGGGGAAGCUUCUCUCAUAUGCUAGGCCACAUUACCUCCAGUCUAUUUGUCUAAAAUGCCUUUGGUGUUUGGUGGCUCUGCUAGGCAGACACACACUGACCUACAUGUAAUAACAGGAGUCAGAAAGUUACUCAUCUUCCUCAUAAAAUCCUCAGUCUUUACAGCUUUACUGUAGCUGAACUUAAAUUCAGCAAGUUGAUAUUGAAAGGUUGUUUAUGUGGCAGUUUAUCACUGUCUCUCCAAGACAGCAGCUUUUCUUAUCAAUGUUUCCAUUAACAUACAGUGCUCUGCAAAAAAAGAGCAAUAAAAGGAGUGUCCUCUGUUUUCAUACACAAAAAGCACCUUCUCCUAAGAUUUCCCUCCACAGGAAGCACAUAGGACCCCGAGACAGCUUAUACAACUAGUGUCUCUACAAGGGGCUCUGCACCCCUUCAAUCUAGGAAAUUAUCUUUGGGUAAAAUACACAAAAGAAAGGAAAACUUACCUCCUUGGUGGGAGAGAAUGUUUUUGUAUCUCUAACCUUUCUCAGCAGUGAAGGUGGAAAGAAAAUUUGAGUUGGAUCCAUCACUCCUGCCUGAAAUCUGCAACCGGUCCUUGUAAUUCUAUAUGAUUAUUUUAACACUGAGAUGCAGCAUAGCAUAGUAAAUUAUUGCUUCACAAGUUUUUGGAAAUUCUCUCGCACGCGAAUCUACUGUUUUAUCAGACUAGAACUGCUUGGCUGCAUGUAAUUUUUCUCUGAAGCCUGAAAGACAUCUGUGCUCUGUUAGCCUGGAAUCCCAUAGUCAUCGCUGCUCAGCUCCUUGUUGAGGUGUCAGAUCUUAACAACAGCCAAGUGAUGGAUAUUUUCCUCAGAAAGCACUUGCUCACAACUUCCUUAUUCUUCAGAACGUGCAGAUGAAGGGGUUGCUUUGAACUUCAGGGGUUCUUAUAAUAGUCACCCUGUUGAGGGUGUCACUAGUGAAGCCUACCAAUUGCAGCUUACCACAGAGGGGCCUAAAGGUACAGGAGCUUUGCUGAUAUGAAGAUUCAGAAGCAGUGUUUUAAGGCAGCUUUUAGGCACAUCUUGCAUUUUUGAAGUUCAACACAUUUGGCUAUAUGUACGUGUGGUUUUAAAGGCAGAAGUGUAUGGAUGUACAACAGAACAGUUCUAGAUACCUAGAUCAGAAAAUGUGUGCAAUACAUGUGUUUAUGUGGGUAUGGCUUUAUGUUUUUAUAUAGAUACACAUGUGAAUAUAUAUUAAUAUGUAUAGUUAUACUUAGUGUAUGUAUCUGAACAUCAAAGCACUUGAUGAUGGAAGGGUAGUGUUUCCUGUCAUACAUUUUUGCACUUAUUCAUUUUGUUUCUUAUAACUAAAACAAGCUAAAGAUCUUCUAACUCAGCAGCAUGAAAAGUAUGCAUUGGAACUAUGUAAGCACCAGGAAAAAAAAUACUGUUUGCCCUAUAAAAGAUUUUGCUUUAUUUUUUUUUAAUAGAGAGCUAUAAUCACCCGAGUAACCCAAUAAAAGUGCAGUUAAGGUCUAUAUUAAUUGGCUGAUACAUAAUUGGCUACAGCAUGUGAGUGAGCACUUCUGAUGUUAAGCUGUGCGUUAUGUAUAACACAUACAACAGUUAAGCAAAAUCCAUAAGAAAAAUUGAUCUGACUUCCCCACACUCUGUUUAAUGGUUUGGUAAUUUUGAUAUAGGUUGUCCUGGUUUAGACUCUCUUGUUGCUUUUUCAUUAUUCCAUGCACAAGGAAAGGACAGAGAGAUGACAAGUCAUGUAAAACACGUUGCCAAGUGAAUUUGUAUUGCGUGCAUAGUGAAGUGAGAGGUUAUGUGACAGUGUUAUCUCUACUAUCUACUUCUAGUUCUCUGCAGGUCUUCAGAAGACCAAAUAUAAUCCUUAUCAACUUUUGCGUAAAACCUACGCAUUUUUUUCCAGCCCCAUUUCUUAUAAAAAUUAUAUGCUGAGAUAUGUAAAAGAGUAAAAAUGGCCCCGUGUCUCAGAUUCUACCAUGGAAUCUGAUACCAAUACUAAUUUCAUCAUCAAAUCCACGUUUCUCGGAAGGAAGCAGCUUCCCUGAUACCUAUCCUACGUCCCCAUCUUCCACCCAAAAAAACAACCAACCAACCAAACGGGAGAAGGGAUGCUCUUUUCAUUCUCCUGACCAUUUGCUGAGCUGAGCCCCUCAACUUUAGCAAUGGCAUUUGGAGCCUGGCACUCAAUUCAGGUGUUACAGAGCAGGUCUGCAAACUGGCCAGUCACUCUUUCCCAACACAGAGAAGGACCAGCACGAUGCCUUGGCAUGCUUGCAGUCCUUUAUACAGUCAUACAUAGUGAGACUCUGCUGAAGGACAGCAAAACAUUAAGUUUAUUAUGAGAAGUUCAAGAGUGAAAGGAAACCUUAUUCCCAUCAAGAACCUAACAGGUAGGAACAUCUGAGCCUGGUGAGAGACAGGGACGUUGUUUCUUAUCACACAGACACAGGACAUGUUGACAGGUAGCAAAAGGAUUUUGUAUGUUGAUGGUGUGAUGCAGAUGUCUUCAGCUAUGACUUGUGAAGCCUAGGUCACAGCUCUAAAAAGUGUGUAGUGACAGAAGGGUUGCUUCUCCUUUUAAACAUUUAGAAUGUCAGCAGAAAGGAUUUUGCACUUGUAUUUAAAAUUAUAUUACAGACUUUUGCAUUAUAUGACAGGAGUCUUUCUGGGUGUAGUUUUCAAAUGGUUCUCAACUACUGAAUUAUGUCUUAAUUCACAGAAUUGUUAUAAUGCCCUUUAUCAUUCAGUCUAUCUUGUUCCCUUCUAUUCCUUCUCUGUAUGCGUGUUUUAGGAAAGUUACACCAGUCUUGUUUUGUCAGUAAUUCCUUGUAGGUCUUUAUAUUUCUGUUAAUAUGAUAUCUUAAGUCUACCAGAUAUUAAUAUUCUAACGAUUAACUGAAUUAAAUGAAUUAUGCAAAAGCAACAUAAAAACUAAGCCCUCAAUUUGUAAAUCUCCAACAUACAAAAAGUUAAUGGCUAAUCUCAUUAAAAUAUAGCACCAAUAUGUAGGAAUAAUAAGUAAGUGUUUGAUUUCUACAAAAAGACAUGAUAAUUAAAAAAAUCUCAGUAGACAUCAUCUCACUUUUAAUUACAGUUUAUUUGCAUGGUUAUAAGUCUAUUUAUACUAUUCAUUAAUAUGUCAAAAUACUUUGUAGUUAUUCAUUAGGAAUCCAGGACUAAAUUGCAUUCUGUCUGAGUUCUGAGUGACUCAGAGUCUAGUGUAGAUUUCCAUUUAUUCUCUUUAAAAUAGAAUAAUAUUUUAUUUUCGAGGCAGGUAGAGGUGAAAGAUUUUGGAAAUUCAGUCUUUAGCUGUUAUGUGACACAGAGGCCAUGUUUUCAACUGCAAAACUCUAGAAAAAACAUUUCUGUGUGUUUUCUCCCACUAAAUACUGCUGAAAAUAAGCUUCAUUUGCAACCAUUGUGAGGUUCUUACUGAUUUGUUGUCAGAAAUAAUUUACAAACUCAGUUCUGUACUAUUGAACCACCAAAUAUGGGAAACUAACAACUGCAUUAUAAAAUGGAUUAUCUAUAUUCUGUUCCUGAUUACGUGGAUGUUGUCUAUAUUUAGGGCCGUGUCGCAGUUUAAUUAGAGUAUUGUAAAUGUGCCAAACAUCUUUAAUUCAUUUAGCUUUAACUUUUCCAUAGUUUGUAUCUAGAAAGUCUCAGUAAGUAUUAAAAAAGUGAAAUGCUUCCCAUGAAGUUGAAGCAUUGAUUUUUUUUUUACCUUUUGAAAGGAAUUUGACUCCCAUUUUACCUCUGGUAUAUGAUGUUUGGCAUCAGCCCUAGGAUUUUAAGACUAUCAAACUGCCCUAGAGAGAAGCCACUGCAUGAGCUAUUCCUAAGUAUUUCCUUCCAGUGCUUUUAUUUCUAAAGGUGUAAAAGAUCACUUGCUUUUCUGAGUUUUAAAGCUUACUCCAGCUCAAGAUAUUUGGCUAGUGCACUCAAACAAACUGUAAAGAUCUGAGGCAACAUCCCUGGGAUAACACUAGUGCCUAAGCAGUGGGAUCAGUUAUAAACUCUCACUGAAGUUUCAUUUUUAUUUUGGAAAUUCUAACUUAGCAAGAAUGAUACAAACAUACAAAAAGUUGCUGAGACCAUGCCAUCCAUACAAGUUGCACAGUAGUAUAUUCUAAAAGAGAUGUGUAAAUAUGUUUUCCCCAGCAUUCCUGCCCCCAGAUAUUUUUUCUAAGCUAUAUACUUUCUUCUGUUAUUUACAGGGAUUGGUUUAAUUAUCUUCUAAAUAGGAAUUCUUCCUCAAGCCUGUUUUCAGACCCCAUAGUUCUUUGUUUCUGGUACAGACACGUCUCUGGCAGUGGCAAAAGGACUGGUGGUAGGAGGUGCCCAUUUAGAGCACAGGCUGGAUGACCUUGGCUUUCCAUUCUCCUUCUGAGAAGGUUAAAUGGAAUUCCCUCUAUCAAGACAAAUAUUUAUAGGAGAGCUGUGUAGAGGUUAGGUUGUGGAAAUUAAUACACAUGGACUUUGUAGCUCCAAUUAAGUGCACAACUGGAUUCCUUUCUCACCAUCUGUCCAGCAAGACUGUGCUUCAGCUCCCUGUAGUGGAUAAUGCAGGAGAGGCCUAACAUUGCUUUUUUUUUUUCUUGGUGAAUUUUAUAAGAAGUUGUUUUUUUUUUCCCCAAAGUACAGAUGCUUUACAUCUUCAGAAUUUUUAUCACACCUCACAGGAUAUUAAGGAUAUGAGGAUUAAGGAUGCUAAAAAAUAAAGUCUCAUUAAGUGUUUUAGCUUGAGUGUUCAUUAUGCAGCAAAAAUAUUAUUUCCAUUAUCAAACAGAUGGGCUGGUACCUAUAUGCACUUUUCUUGUGUACAUACAGACUGCUUUCUUUACAUCCCAUUCUCACAUUUUUUUAGGCUGUGUAUUCAUGUAUCUGACUUUUCAGAUGUCCAAUUGAAAUAGGACUUCUUUCAGAGUAGGACUCAAGGUCAAGUUGUGCAGACUUCUAGUAGUUUUUUAAGUUCUUCACAGACAUCUCUCCAAUUGAAAGGAGGUGUCCAAAACUGAGAACUGUUCUUAACUGAAAGCCUUUUUGUGCUCAGUGGAGUGAAAUAAUUCUUUUACUUUUUUGUUUAACGACCUUUUUCUGCAUUUCAGUAAAGUAGUCACACUUUUUGGAACACCAAAUCACUGUUGACUCAUUUUCUGUUUGUGAACUGCUAUUCUGUAAGACCUAUAUAUCACUUCUUCCUGUAAAGUAGCUGCUUAGCCAGUUUGUCUCCAGCUUACAUUUUUGCAAUUAUUCCCAACUAUACCUAAUAGUUUCUCAUAUUAUUGAAUUACAUUCACUUUACUUUGUUCCAACUCAUCAUGAUUUGUUCAAUUCUAAUUGCAUCUUCCAAAAUGCUUGCAGCUCUCACCUGAACAGGAUAUCCUCCACAAAUAUGAUAAAAAUAUUCUCUAUCCUGUUGCAUCACAGAAACAGUUCAGGGCUCAGGAUGUAAGUAUCUGGAGAUCUCAUUUCUUACAAACAUAUUUGAUUGUGAACCACUUGACACCACUGCUGAGUGCCGUUUGCUAACCAUUUCAUCUGAGUUUGUGUAGCCAGUGCUCCUCUGUCCCUAUGAGAGCAUUAGAUGAUACAGCAUCUGAAUCCUUGGUGAAGUGGAUUCCGUUAUUUGUUUUUGAGAGAUUAUUGUUGAUUGUAAUUCAUCAUCCAAAUGCUUACAAAUAGUAUGCAUAUUAAUUUGCUCCAGUAUUUUGCCUGAUACAAAGUAAAGCUGACUGUCCUCUGAUUGCCAUCCUUUUUUUUUCUUUUUAAGGUAGGAACCUCAGUUAUCUUAUUCUGAGUUCUUGAAGGUGAAUGUUAAUAGCUUUAAGAUUGCUUAGCCAUUUUGCUAAAUACGUUGGCUGAAACUUACCUAGUCUGUGACUUCUUACUUGCAUGUAAGCAUAGUAACUGGGUAGAUUCCAUGUUAAUCGUGUGAGCCAUCUGAUUACAGCUGACAUUUUGGAGAAGAACAAAGCAAAAAAAAAAAAAAGAGGCUUUGGUCUUUCUCACAUUACUUAGUGCUAGUUUCCUCACCCACCUGAGAGCCUGACAGUUCUUCCCCAGUAAUCUUUCACAUAAGCAUUUUGUUACGCUUCAUGGCUCUUUGAGAGUUCUAGCUCAUUUUGUAUGUUAGCCUGUCUGGAUUUUCCUUCUAUAUUAUAAUUGUUUUGCUGUUGGUUUUGAUAAAUCAACCUAGAUUCUGCUUUUUUUUCAAAAGAUGCAAGCCAGGCUCUUGUCUUGUUAGCUUGCUUUCUCAUUGUGGUGGUCUGUUUGCAGCCUUCAUGUUGAUUCUAUAGGAAAUGGCAAACUUUCCAGAGUUUUCUCCUGAGAUUUGCUACAGAGGGGUUUGGCAUUCAAACUGAAUUUACUGAAACUUCUUCAAGUCUGUAGGUUUGAAUUUCCUUCCCUUUUGCAGAACUUAAUGACCCCCAUCAUCCAUAUAGUUUCCUGUAUUCCUUUCUGAGUAGUUCUCUUGCUGUUUGUCCUGGUGUGGGCCUAACACAACAAAGAAACAGCCACAUGGCCACUCACUCAACUACCCCCUCACACACGCUGUGGGAUGAGGACAAACCCAACUAGAAGCUCAUGGCUUGAGACAAAGGACAAGGAGGGCUCUUCACCCAUUAAAGUCCCGGGCAAAACAGACUCAACUUGUGGAAAAAAUAAUAAUUGAAUUUCAUACUAAUCAAAUGCAAAUUAAAGUACCACGCACUUCAUCUUUUUUGUUUGUGGGUUUCUAACAGGUCUUUGCUGUGACACUGUUCUUUUCCUUUCCUUUUUGUCAUUAUCCAAGUAUUUUCACUAGCCCUUUACCCUGUAUUCCUUUUCUACUACCCGUGCUUCCUGAAAAAACUCUGCAGUCCCCUAGCAAGAACUAGUUAUGACAAUUUAUUCAUCAUUUUGGUCACAAAUGUAGAAUUACUUUCAGUUCCUCCUGUUACCCAUGUUCUUCCCUAAGUGUGCAGCAUCUGAAUGCAAUGCCAGGGAAACAUUUUUCUUAUUAUUCCUCUAUUGUAAUGUUCAGUAAAAUAAUUCCCCUCCUCCUCCCUGUUUUUUCCUUUUUUCUCUAAGCUUUUGUGCUUUAUCUGAACCCUGUGGUGUGAUAAGGAUAAUCUGAAGAUAAUUUAAUUUACAUCAGCUGCAGACAACUAGGGAAGAUACAACAGUGAAGAGGGAGAGUGGCAUAGCAUCAACCAGCCAGGUAGCCCUGCUUUUCUUUCCUCUGGGAAAUGCUCCCUUUGUGCCAGCUUGGAAACUGGUUUGUUACAGCACAGCACUGCAAAAAGACCAUGUAACAAAUAAAACCAUCUCUCUGCUA